AGGAGCUUUGAGGGUAACCGCCCGCUGGGACCUGAAGGACAAUUGCGGAUUGUCCUUCAGCCGCAUUCUUGGGGCUGACCUGAGUGGGGCACAGCUGAACGUCUGAGCGCAGGCGGCUGGUCCUUGGGCCCGGUUUUUGCAUUUCUGACAAUCAACCGAUGGCUCCACCUGGACCUGCCAACCCCGCCAAGCAGUCGUGGACCCAGAAGCAGACUCCCUGGCCUGCCAAACUAUCCUUACAAAACCCUAGCCUCCAACUUUUCAGGAAGAUUGAUUUGAGUAAUAACUCCAUUUACCACGUGGCACGGCUGGCCUCAAUGAUUAAACUCUAUUGCAAUGCUGUGGUCUCA
rnacentral:lncRNA from 10 species